GAUGAACGCUAGCUACAGGCUUAACACAUGCAAGUCGAGGGGCAGCGGGAUUGAAGCUUGCUUCAAUUGCCGGCGACCGGCGCACGGGUGAGUAACGCGUAUCCAACCUUCCGCUUACUCGGGGAUAGCCUUUCGAAAGAAAGAUUAAUACCCGAUGGUAUCUUAAGCACGCAUGAGAUUAAGAUUAAAGAUUUAUCGGUAAGCGAUGGGGAUGCGUUCCAUUAGGCAGUUGGCGGGGUAACGGCCCACCAAACCUACGAUGGAUAGGGGUUCUGAGAGGAAGGUCCCCCACAUUGGAACUGAGACACGGUCCAAACUCCUACGGGAGGCAGCAGUGAGGAAUAUUGGUCAAUGGGCGAGAGCCUGAACCAGCCAAGUAGCGUGAAGGAUGACGGCCCUACGGGUUGUAAACUUCUUUUGUGCGGGAAUAAAGGAACCUACGUGUAGGUUUUUGCAUGUACCGUAACGAAUAAGCAUCGGCUAACUCCGUGCCAGCAGCCGCGGUAAUACGGAGGAUGCGAGCGUUAUCCGGAUUUAUUGGGUUUAAAGGGAGCGUAGACGGGUUUUUAAGUCAGCUGUGAAAGUUUGGGGCUCAACCUUAAAAUAGCAGUUGAAACUGGAGACCUUGAGUACGGUUGAGGCAGGCGGAAUUCGUGGUGUAGCGGUGAAAUGCUUAGAUAUCACGAAGAACCCCGAUUGCGAAGGCAGCCUGCUAAGCCGCCACUGACGUUGAGGCUCGAAAGUGCGGGGUAUC
rnacentral:rRNA from 1 species